rnacentral:lncRNA from 1 species
UAGUAUUAAAUAGAGUAAUUAGUUUUAAAAAGAAACAUUAUUAAAAAGGGAUCCCUUUAAUUUUCCUAGGUACAGCCAAUUAAUAUUUUCAUUUCCCAUUCUCUUUUUGAAGAAACCAACGGCCGAGGGUUGGGAUUCAUUAGGGAACUCUACAGUUUUUUUUAUUAUUUAGUUUUUUUCAUUUUUAUUUUUUCUAGUUUAUCUUAGUUUAUACAUUUAAGUUAGCAUUAAAAUAUCAGUUAGUUAGUAUGUGGUCUGGUGGAGGGGAGUGACUUUUAGAUCUUUAGUGUAGUGGGUUCGAUACUCCUAGGUGUAGUUUUUCUUUCUUUUAAUAUUUUCUUUUAUAUUUAUGUUUUAUUAUUCAUAUUUCCUUUUUU